rnacentral:rRNA from 1 species
UACGUAGGGGGCGAGCGUUGUCCGGAAUUAUUGGGCGUAAAGAGCGUGUAGGCGGUCCGGUAAGUCGGUUGUGAAAGUCCAAGGCUCAACCCUGGGAUGCCGACCGAUACUGUCGGACUAGAGUUCGGAAGAGGCGAGUGGAAUUCCCGGUGUAGCGGUGAAAUGCGCAGAUAUCGGGAGGAACACCUAUGGCGAAGGCAGCUCGCUGGGACGUUACUGACGCUGAGACGCGAAAGCGUGGGGAGCAAACAGG